rnacentral:tRNA from 2 species
GGGGCAUUAGCUCAGCUGGUAGAGCGCUUCAAUGGCAUUGAAGAGGUCAGCGGUUCGACUCCGCUAUGCUCCACCA